rnacentral:rRNA from 1 species
CCUACGGGAGGCUGCAGUGGGGAAUAUUGCACAAUGGGGGAAACCCUGAUGCAGCGACGCCGCGUGAGUGAAGAAGUAUUUCGGUAUGUAAAGCUCUAUCAGCAGGGAAGAAAAUGACGGUACCUGAUUAAGAAGCCCCGGCUAACUACGUGCCAGCAGCCGCGGUAAUACGUAGGGGGCAAGCGUUAUCCGGAUUGACUGGGGGUAAAGGGAGCGUAGACGGCAGCAUAAGUCUGGAGUGAAAUGCCCGGGCUUAACCUCGGAACUGCUUUGGAAACUGUGAAGCUAGAGUGCAGGAGAGGGGAGUAGAAUUCCAGGUGUAGCGGGGAAAUGCGUAGAGAGCAGGAGGAAUACCAGUGGCGAAGGCGGCCCCCUGGACUGAGACUGACGUUCAGGUUCGAAAGCGUGGGGAGCAAACAGGAUUAGAUACCCCUGUAGUC